rnacentral:rRNA from 1 species
UACGAAGGGGGCUAGCGUUGUUCGGAAUCACUGGGCGUAAAGCGCACGUAGGCGGGUUCUUAAGUCAGGGGUGAAAUCCCGAGGCUCAACCUCGGAACUGCCUUUGAUACUGGGAAUCUUGAGUUCGGGAGAGGUGAGUGGAAUUGCGAGUGUAGAGGUGAAAUUCGUAGAUAUUCGCAAGAACACCAGUGGCGAAGGCGGCUCCAGUAG